AAGAUCGUGAAGGCUGAGAUUGCCGAGGACGAUCCGGUUUUCAGUGAAUUCACCAAGGAUAUUGCUCGCGUCGAACUCGAUGUGCUGGCGCUGGAAGCCACCGAGCUUCGCGUCGUUGCGCAGAUGGCGCGCGGCAUCAAUCCGGGGCCGGCGGCCUCGCUGUUCAAGAUCAGGGGCACGGAAAUCUUCCAGCGCAUCACCGAUCUGACGCAUCGGGCUAUCGGCAACUACGGUCUAGCGCUUCGCGAGCAUCCGGUCAGCGCCAAUAUCUUC
rnacentral:misc_RNA from 1 species